UGAGUUUGAUCAUGGCUCAGAACGUACGCUGGCGGCACGCCUAACACAUGCAAGUCGAACGAAGUAGCAAUACUUAGUGGCAGACGGGUGAGUAACAUGUAGGUAUCUGCCCUUUGGCCUGGAAUAACACGAGGAAACUUGUGCUAAUACCGGAUAAGUCUUUACGGAGAAAGCUUUAUGCACCAUUGGAUGAGCCUGCACUUGAUUAGUUUGUUGGUGGGGUAAUGGCCUACCAAGACUGUGAUCAAUAGCUGAUUUGAGAGGAUGAUCAGCCACAUUGGGACUGAGACACGGCCCAAACUCCUACGGGAGGCAGCAGUGGGGAAUCUUGCACAAUGGAGGAAACUCUGAUGCAGCGAUGCCGCGUGAGUGAAGAAGGCCUUUGGGUUGUAAAGCUCUUUCGUCGGGGAAGAAAAUGACUGUACCCGAAUAAGAAGGUCCGGCUAACUUCGUGCCAGCAGCCGCGGUAAUACGAAGGGACCUAGCGUAGUUCGGAAUUACUGGGCUUAAAGAGUUCGUAGGUGGUUGAAAAAGUUGGUGGUGAAAUCCCAGAGCUUAACUCUGGAACUGCCAUCAAAACUUUUCAGCUAGAGUAUGAUAGAGGAAAGCAGAAUUUCUAGUGUAGAGGUGAAAUUCGUAGAUAUUAGAAAGAAUACCAAUUGCGAAGGCAGCUUUCUGGAUCAUUACUGACACUGAGGAACGAAAGCAUGGGUAGCGAAGAGGAUUAGAUACCCUCGUAGUCCAUGCCGUAAACGAUGUGUGUUAGACGUUGGAAAUUUAUUUUCAGUGUCGCAGCGAAAGCGAUAAACACACCGCCUGGGGAGUACGACCGCAAGGUUAAAACUCAAAUGAAUUGACGGGGACCCGCACAAGUAGUGGAGCAUGUGGUUUAAUUCGAAGAUACGCGCAGAACCUUACCAACACUUGACAUGUUCGUCGCGACUUUAAGAGAUUAAAGUUUUCGGUUCGGCCGGACGAAACACAGGUGCUGCAUGGCUGUCGUCAGCUCGUGUCGUGAGAUGUUGGGUUAAGUCCCGCAACGAGCGCAACCCUCACUUUUAGUUGCCAUCAUUAAGUUGGGCACUCUGAAAGAACUGCCAGUGAUAAGCUGGAGGAAGGUGGGGAUGACGUCAAGUCCUCAUGGCCCUUACGUGUUGGGCUACACACGUGCUACAAUGGUAUCUACAACAGGAAGCAAAACGGCGACGUUAAGCAAAUCCUUAAAAGAUACCUCAGUUCGGAUUGCACUCUGCAACUCGAGUGCAUGAAGCUGGAAUUACUAGUAAUCGUGGAUCAGCGUGCCACGGUGAAUGCGUUCCCGGGUCUUGUACACACCGCCCGUCACACCAUGGGAGUUGGUUCUACCUUAAGGCAAGGUUUCAAACCCUUGACCACGGUAUAGUCAGCGACUGGGGUGAAGUCGUAACAAGGUAGC
rnacentral:rRNA from 1 species